rnacentral:rRNA from 1 species
CGAGCGAAUCGAUGGGAGCUUGCUCCCUGAGAUUAGCGGCGGACGGGUGAGUAACACGUGGGCAACCUACCUAUAAGACUGGAAUAACUUCGGGAAACCGGAGCUAAUACCGGAUACGUUCUUUUCUCGCAUGAGAGAAGAUGGAAAGACGGUUUCGGCUGUCACUUGUAGAUGGGCCCGCGGCGCAUUAGCUAGUUGGUGAGGUAAUGGCUCACCAAGGCGACGAUGCGUAGCCGACCUGAGAGGGUGAUCGGCCACACUGGGACUGAGACACGGCCCAGACUCCUACGGGAGGCAGCAGUAGGGAAUCUUCCGCAAUGGACGAAAGUCUGACGGAGCAACGCCGCGUGAACGAAGAAGGCCUUCGGGUCGUAAAGUUCUGUUGUUAGGGAAGAACAAGUACCAGAGUAACUGCUGGUACCUUGACGGUACCUAACCAGAAAGCCACGGCUAACUACGUGCCAGCAGCCGCGGUAAUACGUAGGUGGCAAGCGUUGUCCGGAAUUAUUGGGCGUAAAGCGCGCGCAGGUGGUUUCUUAAGUCUGAUGUGAAAGCCCACGGCUCAACCGUGGAGGGUCAUUGGAAACUGGGGAACUUGAGUG